rnacentral:rRNA from 1 species
AGUGAACGCUGGCGGUAGGCCUAACACAUGCAAGUCGAACGGCAGCACAGUAAGAGCUUGCUCUUACGGGUGGCGAGUGGCGGACGGGUGAGGAAUACAUCGGAAUCUACUUUUUCGUGGGGGAUAACGUAGGGAAACUUACGCUAAUACCGCAUACGACCUACGGGUGAAAGCAGGGGAGCUUCGGACCUUGCGCGAUUGAAUGAGCCGAUGUCGGAUUAGCUAGUUGGCGGGGUAAAGGCCCACCAAGGCGACGAUCCGUAGCUGGUCUGAGAGGAUGAUCAGCCACACUGGAACUGAGACACGGUCCAGACUCCUACGGGAGGCAGCAGUGGGGAAUAUUGGACAAUGGGCGCAAGCCUGAUCCAGCCAUACCGCGUGGGUGAGGGAGGCCUUCGGGUUGUAAAGCCCUUUUGUUGGGAAAGAAAAGCAGCAGGUUAAUACCCCGCUGUUCUGACGGUACCCAAAGAAUAAGCACCGGCUAACUUCGCG